AACGAACGCUGGCGGCAGGCCUAACACAUGCAAGUCGAGCGAGGACUUCGGUCCUAGCGGCGGACGGGUGAGUAACGCGUGGGAACGUGCCCUUUGCUUCGGAAUAGCCCUGGGAAACUGGGAGUAAUACCGGAUGAGCCCUUUGGGGGAAAGAUUUAUCGGCGAAGGAUCGGCCCGCGUUGGAUUAGGUAGUUGGUGGGGUAAUGGCCUACCAAGCCGACGAUCCAUAGCUGGUUUGAGAGGAUGAUCAGCCACACUGGGACUGAGACACGGCCCAGACUACUACGGGAGGCAGCAGUGGGGAAUCUUAGAAAAUGGGGGAAACCCUGAUCGAGCCAUGACGCGUGAGCGAUGAAGGCCUUAGGGUUGUAAAGCUCUUUCAGCUGGGAAGAUAAUGACGGUACCAGCAGAAGAAGCCCCGGCUAACUCCGUG
rnacentral:rRNA from 1 species